rnacentral:rRNA from 1 species
GAUGAACGCUGGCGGCGUGCCUAAUACAUGCAAGUCGAGCGAACAGAAGAGAAGAUUGCUCCUCUGACGUUAGCGGCGGACGGGUGAGUAAAACGUGGAUAACCUACCUAUAAGACUGGGAUAACUUCGGGAAAACGGAGCUAAUACCGGAUAUUAUAUCGAAUCGCAUGGUUCAAUCGUGAAAGACGGUUUUGCUGUCACUUAUAGAUGGAUCCGCGCCUCAUUAGCUAGUUCGUAAGGUAACGACUUCCCAAGGCAACGAUGAUUAGCAGACCUGAGAGGGUCGACCACCAGACUGUAACUGAGACACGGCCCAGACUCCGGCGGUGAGCAGCAGUAGGGACUCUUCCGCGAUGGGGCAAUGCCGGACGUAGCAACGUCGCGUGAGUGAUGAUGGUCUUCGGAUCGUAGAACUCUGUUAUUAUGGAAGAACAAAUGUGUAAGUAACUAUGCACGUCUUGACGGUACCUAAGCAGAAAGCCACGGCUAACCACGUG